AGCCAUGCCGCGUGCAGGAAGACGGCCUUCUGGGUUGUAAACUGCUUUUGGCCGGGAACAAAAAGCCCCUGCGGGGGAAAUUGAGUGUACCGGCAGAAUAAGCACCGGCUAACUCCGUGCCAGCAGCCGCGGUAAUACGGAGGGUGCAAGCGUUGUCCGGAUUUAUUGGGUUUAAAGGGUGCGUAGGCGGGCCAAUAAGUCAGUGGUGAAAGCCCACAGCUCAACUGUGGAACCGCCAUUGAUACUGUUGGCCUUGAGUACCGUUGGGGCAGGCGGAAUUUAUGGUGUAGCGGUGAAAUGCAUAGAUACCAUAAAGAACACCGAUAGCGUAGGCAGCUUGCUAAACGGUAACUGACGCUGAGGCACGAAAGCAUGGGGAGCGAACAGGAUUAGAUACCCUGGUAGUCCAUGCCGUAAACGAUGAUUACCCGAUGUCCGCGAUACACAGUGGGCGUCCAAGCGAAAGCGUUAAGUAAUCCACCUGGGGAGUACGCCC
rnacentral:rRNA from 1 species